rnacentral:rRNA from 1 species
UGGGGAAUAUUGCACAAUGGGGAAACCCUGAUGCAGCGACGCCGCGUGAAGGAAGAAGUAUCUCGGUAUGUAAACUUCUAUCAGCAGGGAAGAAAAAUGACGGUACCUGACUAAGAAGCCCCGGCUGAACUACGUGCCAGCAGCCGCGGUAAUACGUAGGGGCGAAGCGUUAUCCGGAUUUACUGGGUGUAAAGGGAGCGUAGACGGAGCAGCGAGUCUGAUGUGAAAAGGCAGGGGCUCAACCCCUGCACGUGCAUUGGAAACUGUUGGUCUUGAGUACCGGAGGGGUAAGCGGAAUUCCUAGUGUAGCGGUGAAAUGCGUAGAUAUUAGGAGGAACACCAGUGGCGAAGGCGGCUUACUGGACGGUAACUGACGUUGAGGCUCGAAAAGCGUGGGGAGCAAACAGGAUUAGAUACCC